rnacentral:misc_RNA from 1 species
GAUGAAGAACGCAGCGAAAUGCGAUAAGUAAUGUGAAUUGCAGAAUUCAGUGAAUCAUCGAAUCUUUGAACGCACAUUGCGCCCGCCAGUAUUCUGGCGGGCAUACCUGUUCGAGCGUCAUUUCAACCAUCAAGCCCUGCUUGCGUUGGGGUCCUGCGGCUGCCCGCAGGCCCUGAAAACCAGUGGCGGGCUCGCUAGUCACACCGAGCGCAGUAAUACAUCUCGCUUUGGGCGUGCGGCGGGUUCUUGCCGUUAAACACCCCCUUUUUACCAAGGUUGACCUCGGAUCAGGUAGGAAUACCCGCUGAACUUAAGCAUAUCAAUAAGCGGAGGA